ACAGAGGUGGCUAGCGUUGUUCGGUAUCACUGGGCUUAAAGCGUGUGUAGGCGGAAGCGUAAGCAUUUUGUGAAAUCCCCCGGCUUAACCGGGGAAUCGCUUGAUGUACUGCGUUUCUUGAGGCAGGUAGGGGUGCGAGGAACUCUUGGUGGAGCGGUGGAAUGCGUAGACAUCAAGAGGAACGCCGGUGGUGGAGACGUCGCACGGGGCCUGUCAUGUCGCUGAGACAGCAAAGCGUUUAGAGGGAACGG
rnacentral:rRNA from 1 species